UACGUAGGGUGCGAGCGUUGUCCGGAAUUAUUGGGCGUAAAGAGCUCGUAGGCGGCUUGUCACGUCGGAUGUGAAAGCCCGGGGCUUAACUCCGGGUCUGCAUUCGAUACGGGCUGGCUAGAGUGUGGUAGGGGAGAUCGGAAUUCCUGGUGUAGCGGUGAAAUGCGCAGAUAUCAGGAGGAACACCGGUGGCGAAGGCGGAUCUCUGGGCCGAUACUGACGCUGAGGAGCGAAAGCGUGGGGAGCGAACAGG
rnacentral:rRNA from 1 species